CCUGGUUCAGAUUUAUUCAAUUGUAUUCACAGACGACGUGAAUACAAUUGAAUAAAUCUGAACCAG
rnacentral:pre_miRNA from 1 species